rnacentral:lncRNA from 1 species
UUUUGCAUAAAAAUUCCUCAACUUUUAAUCCUGUACACUGCUCUUACUGGGCAGAAUUCGCGCGGAGGGACCGGUCUCCCCGACUUGGGACCGGUCCCCGAGGGCCUCCCUCGGGUGCACGCGUUCGGGAACCGGUCUCUCCCCGGGAGACCGGUCCUCACCUGAGGGACCGGUCCCCGAGAGCUCAAUUUUCAGGACAUAGCUAAUUUUCGGCAUUUCUCGCUGGGACCACAUUCGGGAACCGGUCCCUCCCUACCAGGGACCGAUUGCAUCAAGCAACCCCGCAACACCCAGCCAAUGGAACCGGUCUCUCACCUCCAGAGACCGGUCCCCGAGAGUAUCAUCAGCCUAAUGAUGCAGUUUGCAC